GUUUCUUCUCCCCCCUCUUUCUCUGCAGCUGCGCUGGCUGUUGGCCAAUGCCAGUGUCUAGGAAAAUAACCAGCAGCACUCUAGAGAGACAGAUAAGUGCACGAGUGCUGCAGCAGUGACCACGGAGCAGCCCAAACUCUCAGAUGACCCUUUUAAUGACCUGUGCCAUGAGUGCCCUCGUUAAUCAGACACUUCAGUCUGCUGCAGUUUACUUCAAAUACCAUACAAAACAAGAGUCAAGGUUAAGGAUUUCCUUAUCCAUCCACAAACUCCUUCCCAGCCCACCAAACUGAUGUCACGCCAUCUUCAGAGACUUCUACAGUGACGUCAGUGGGACAGAUUAGAUUUCUGCACCGGCCUGCAGAACACAUCCCAGAGACUGAUUACAGCCUGGCAACUGCUGCUGCUGCCAGCAUUGUGCAAUGGAAUAGGGCAACAUGGACCAGCAGAUGAAGGAAUUCAAACAAUGCAUGGAGAAAGCAGAUCCAUGAACAACACCACAACCCCCAUCACAAUAAAGUGCAAACCCACAGAAAGGUGAAACACUGCAGAGCUCUCUUCAGUCAGCUCCAUGCAUAAAGCCAGACUACCUCCAUCAGUGGGCUCAUAUCACAUGCAGGCUCUUAUACCCCAUUUAUAUCUACAAAUAUAUUUAAAUAGAACCAUAAGGUUUUAUUAUUUAUUCUUGCUGUACAAAUAAAGUCUGUCAUUCAGCUCUAAAAACUGUCUCUUUAUGGCAAUUACUUUUCCCGGAGUCUACUCUAGAAGCCAAAUUUUAGUUUUGUUUAUUUUUUUAGAGCUUAUAUUCUACUUUGCGAAGUGAAGGAGGCAAACUGUGUCAUGGAGAAGCUUAUACCAUUCCCUGGUAAUUCAUUAGAAGAGCAGAAGGGAUUGCUUCCCCUGAGCUCCUUGGAGAAGGACAAGCUAGAGGGAGAAGCCUCCUACCAGGAGAAACAGAUGAAAAUCAGUGAAUCAGAGUCACAGAUGUGUAUCUAAGGAACU
rnacentral:lncRNA from 1 species